rnacentral:rRNA from 1 species
GACGAACGCUGGCGGCGUGCUUAACACAUGCAAGUCGAACGGUAAGGCCCCAGCUUGCUGGGGUACACGAGUGGCGAACGGGUGAGUAACACGUGGGUGACCUGCCCCGCACUUCGGGAUAAGCCUGGGAAACUGGGUCUAAUACCGGAUAGGACCGCACCGUGAGGGUGUGGUGGAAAGUUUUUCGGUGUGGGAUGUGCCCGCGGCCUAUCAGCUUGUUGGUGGGGUAAUGGCCUACCAAGGCGGCGACGGGUAGCCGGCCUGAGAGGGUGGACGGCCACAUUGGGACUGAGACACGGCCCAGACUCCUACGGGAGGCAGCAGUGGGGAAUAUUGCACAAUGGGCGGAAGCCUGAUGCAGCGACGCCGCGUGGGGGAUGACGGCCUUCGGGUUGUAAACUCCUUUCACCAUCGACGAAGGUUUUCUGACGGUAGAUGGAGAAGAAGCACCGGCUAACUACGUG